rnacentral:rRNA from 1 species
UUGUUUGGAGAGUUUGAUUCUGGCUCAGGACGAACGCUGGCGGCGUGCUUAACACAUGCAAGUCGAACGGUAAGGCCCUUCGGGGUACACGAGUGGCGAACGGGUGAGUAACACGUGGGUGAUCUGCCCUGCACUUUGGGAUAAGCCUGGGAAACUGGGUCUAAUACCGAAUAUGACCAUGGGAUGCAUGUCUCGUGGUGGAAAGCUUUUGCGGUGUGGGAUGGGCCCGCGGCCUAU